CCGGUCUUCUGUUGAGGGUAUACGAGUAGCUGCGCUCCCCUGCUAGAACCUCCAAACAAGGUCUCUCAAUGUAGGAAUACUGACAUC
rnacentral:sRNA from 1 species